rnacentral:rRNA from 1 species
GAUGAACGCUGGCGGCGUGCCUAAUACAUGCAAGUCGAGCGAACGGACGAGAAGCUUGCUUCUCUGAUGUUAGCGGCGGACGGGUGAGUAACACGUGGAUAACCUACCUAUAAGACUGGGAUAACUUCGGGAAACCGGAGCUAAUACCGGAUAAUAUUUUGAACCGCAUGGUUCAAAAGUGAAAGACGGUCUUGCUGUCACUUAUAGAUGGAUCCGCGCUGCAUUAGCUAGUUGGUAAGGUAACGGCUUACCAAGGCAACGAUGCAUAGCCGACCUGAGAGGGUGAUCGGCCACACUGGAACUGAGACACGGUCCAGACUCCUACGGGAGGCAGCAGUAGGGAAUCUUCCGCAAUGGGCGAAAGCCUGACGGAGCAACGCCGCGUGAGUGAUGAAGGUCCUCGGAUCGUAAAACUCUGUUAUUAGGGAGGAACAUAUGUGUAAGUAACUGUGCACAUCUUGACGGUACCUAAUCAGAAAGCCACGGCUAACUACGUG